rnacentral:rRNA from 1 species
GAUGAACGCUAGCUACAGGCUUAACACAUGCAAGUCGAGGGGCAGCAUGUUGGUUGCUUGCAACCAACGAUGGCGACCGGCGCACGGGUGAGUAACGCGUAUCCAACCUGCCCUUGUCCAUCGGAUAACCCGUCGAAAGGCGGACUAACACGAUAUGCAGUUCUCAGCAGGCAUCUAACGAGAACGAAAUGUAAAGGAGAAGGAUGGGGAUGCGUCUGAUUAGCUUGAUGGCGGGGUAACGGCCCACCAAGGCGACGAUCAGUAGGGGUUCUGAGAGGAAGGUCCCCCACAUUGGAACUGAGACACGGUCCAAACUCCUACGGGAGGCAGCAGUGAGGAAUAUUGGUCAAUGGGCGAGAGCCUGAACCAGCCAAGUAGCGUGCAGGAUGACGGCCCUAUGGGUUGUAAACUGCUCUUAUACGGGGAUAAAGUGAGCCACGUGUGGCUUAUUGCAGGUACCGUAUGAAUAAGGACCGGCUAAUUCCGUGCCAGCCGCCGCAGUAAGAC